rnacentral:lncRNA from 1 species
GAAAAUAUCGUAUGGGGCAAAAGUGGGUCAAGGAGAGCAGGAAUAAUUACCAUGGAGUAUGGGAAACACUUUGAGGUUACUUUCGUGUGUGGUAUACGUUAGCCAUGCUGUAAAAAUGCUACCUUUACAGGAGCCAAAGAACAAAUGAGUAUUGAUUUGAGGGCCAGAAUCCAUCACUUUUAAGUAGGGCUUCAUUCAGUAGCCUUAAAGGAUCAGAAGGGAAGAGUCUACAUAGCUUUUUUGGAAAAUCCAAGGUCAAAGAAUCCAAAAUUGGCC